rnacentral:rRNA from 1 species
UACAGAGGUCCCAAGCGUUGUUCGGAUUCACUGGGCGUAAAGGGUGCGUAGGUGGUCGGGUAAGUCGGAUGUGAAAUCUCCGGGCUCAACCCGGAAAUGGCAUUGGAAACUACCUUGCUGGAGGAUUUGAGGGGGGAUUGGAAUACUUGGUGUAGCAGUGAAAUGCGUAGAUAUCAAGUGGAACACCAGUGGCGAAGGCGAAUCCCUGGAAAAUACCUGACACUGAGGCACGAAAGCUAGGGGAGCAAACAGG